rnacentral:tRNA from 1 species
AGGAACUUAGGAUAAUCUUUAAACCAAGGGCCUUCAAAGCCCUAAAAGGGACCAAAACCCCUAGCCUCUG